rnacentral:rRNA from 1 species
CUUGAAAGAGUGCGUAAUAGCUCACUGGUCAAGUGAUUGUGCGCCGAUAAUGUAGCGGGGCUCAAGCACACCGCCGAAGCCGCGGCAGCCGCAAGGCUGGGUAGGGGAGCGUCCUGCAUCCGGUGAAGCCACCGAGUGAUCGAGUGGUGGAGGGUGUGGGAGUGAGAAUGCAGGCAUGAGUAGCGAUAAGGCAAGUGAGAACCUUGCCCGCCGAAAGACCAAGGGUUCCUGGGCCAGGCCAGUCCGCCCAGGGUGAGUCGGGACCUAAGGCGAGGCCGACAGGCGUAGUCGAUGGACAACGGGUUGAUAUUCCCGUACCCGUGUGUGCGCGUCCCUGACGAAUCAGAGGUACUAACCACCCAAAAG